rnacentral:tRNA from 1 species
GAGGUUGUGGCUCAGUGGAAGAGCGCUCGCCUAGCAAAUGAGAGGCAAUGGGUUCGAUCCUCAGCACCACA